rnacentral:rRNA from 1 species
UGGGGAAUACUGCACAAUGGGCGAAAGCCUGAUGCAGCAACGCCGCGUGAGUGAUGAAGGCCUUCGGGUUGUAAAGCUCUGUCUUUUGGGACGAUAAUGACGGUACCAAAGGAGGAAGCCACGGCUAACUACGUGCCAGCAGCCGCGGUAAUACGUAGGUGGCAAGCGUUGUCCGGAUUUACUGGGCGUAAAGGAUGCGUAGGCGGAUUUUUAAGUGAGAUGUGAAAACCCUAAGCUUAACUUGGGGACUGCAUUUCAUACUGGAAAUCUAGAGUGCGGGAGAGGAGAAUGGAAUUCCUAGUGUAGCGGCGAAAUGCGUAGAGAUUAGGAAGAACACCAGUGGCGAAGGCGAUUCUCUGGACCGUAACUGACGCUGAGGCAUGAAAGCGUGGGUAGCAAACAGGAUUAGAUACCCUGGUAGUCCACGCCGUAAACGAUGAGUACUAGGUGUAGGAGGUAUCGACCCCUUCUGUGCCGCAGUUAACACAAUAAGUACUCCGCCUGGGAAGUACGAUCGCAAGAUUAAAACUCAAAUGAA